rnacentral:rRNA from 1 species
AUUGAACGCUGGCGGCAGGCCUAACACAUGCAAGUCGAGCGGAGCGGCGGACGGGCGAGUAAUGCCUAGGAGUCUGCCUGGUAGAGGGGGAUAACGACCGGCAACGGGCGCUAAUACCGCAUACUAUCAGAUGAGCGUAGGCCGGAUUAGCUAGUUGGUGGGGUAAAGGCCUACGAAGGCAACGAUCCGUCACUGGUCUGAGAGGAUGAUCAGUCACACUGGAACUGAGACACGGGCCAGACUCCUACGGGAGGCAGCAGUGGGGAAUAUUGGACAAUGGGCGAAAGCCUGAUCCAGCCAUGCCGCGUGUGUGAAGAAGGUCGUCGGAUUGUAAAGUACUUUAAGUUGGGAGGCGUUACCAACAGAAUAAGCACCGGCUAACUCCGUGCCAGCCGCCGCGGUAAUUC